UAUAAAAUAAGUAGCGUUGCUUUUACUACUCGGCUAACCGUAGUAAUUCUAGAGCUAAUACGUGCUAAAACACCCAGCUAAAAAUUUUGGAAGGGUGGGGCAGAUUAGAUACAGAACCAAUGCAGGGGGCAACUCCUGACCUUGGGAUGAUUCAAAAUGUGCAAUAACGAACCGCAUUGCUUUUUGCAAGCGGUGUGCUACUAUGUGUUUCUGCCCUAUCACGGUAGACGGUGAGGUAUUGGCUCACCGUGCCUUUAACGGGUAACGGGGAAUCAGGGUUCGAUUCCGGAGAGGGAGCCUGAGAAACGGCUACCACAUCCAAGGAAGGCAGCAGGCGCGCAAAUUACCCAAUCUCGAUACGAGGAGGUAGUGACGAAAAAUAGCAAUGUAGAGCCUUUUUGGUUUUGCAAUUGAAAUGAGUACAAUUUAAACGAUCUAACGAGGAUCAAUUAGAGGGCAAGUCUGGUGCCAGCAGCCGCGGUAACUCCAGCUCUAAUAGCGUAUAUUCAUGUUGCUGCAGUUAAAA
rnacentral:rRNA from 1 species